GAUGAACGCUGGCGGCGUGCUUAACACAUGCAAGUCGAACGAAGCAUUUGCGACAGAUUUUUUCGGAAUGAAGUUGCUUAUGACUGAGUGGCGGACGGGUGAGUAACGCGUGGGUAACCUGCCCUGUACUGGGGGAUAGCAGCUGGAAACGGCUGGUAAUACCGCAUAAGCGCACAAUGUUGCAUGACAUGGUGUGAAAAACUCCGGUGGUAUAAGAUGGACCCGCGUCUGAUUAGCUAGUUGGUGAGAUAACAGCCCACCAAGGCGACGAUCAGUAGCCGACCUGAGAGGGUGACCGGCCACAUUGGGACUGAGACACGGCCCAGACUCCUACGGGAGGCAGCAGUGGGGAAUAUUGCACAAUGGAGGAAACUCUGAUGCAGCGACGCCGCGUGAGUGAAGAAGUAAUUCGUUAUGUAAAGCUCUAUCAGCAGGGAAGAUAGUGACGGUACCUGACUAAGAAGCUCCGGCUAAAUACGU
rnacentral:rRNA from 1 species